UUUUCCUACUGCUGAAGAAUGUUCUCUACUGUUGUUAGACAGCAACAGCAUCAGUGUUUGUGUGUGUGUGUGUGUGUGUGAGUGAGAGAGAGAGAGAUGAUCUCCAUAAUCGGGACUAACAGGAUAUAGCUGACUUCCUGCGUUUUUCUACAGCAAAUGUAUGCCAUACGAAAACAGUAGUACUGCUCUUUUGACACACAGGGGAUUUCAGUUUUGGUAUUACCAGCUAUGCUGAAUUAUGGACUUGGGCAGCAGGAUACUUCAGUUGUGCGCACACAAGCGUACUCCUUUUUGCCCCAGUGUGCUUCUGUACAAUCCAGAUGCCCCAAGAGAAACACAGAAAUUACUUGCAUGGAACAGAUUAGAAGCUUGAGAGGUUGCAUUCUCAUUUUGAAAUGGCAUGUUUCAAGUUGAAGCAAACAUUCUUGAACACAUCUGCUGCCAACAAAGGUUCUA